rnacentral:rRNA from 1 species
GACGUAGGAGGCGAGCGUUGUCCGGAUUCAUUGGGCGUAAAGAGCGCGCAGGCGGCUUGGUAAGUCGGAUGUGAAAUCCCGAGGCUCAACCUCGGGUCUGCAUCCGAUACUGCCCGGCUAGAGGUAGGUAGGGGAGAUCGGAAUUCCUGGUGUAGCGGUGAAAUGACGCAGAUAUCAGGAGGAACACCGGUGGCGAAGGCGGAUCUCUGGGCCUUACCUGACGCUCAGGUGCGAAAGCUAGGGGAGCGAACAGG